GACGAACGCUGGCGGCGUGCUUAACACAUGCAAGUCGAACGGAAAGGCCUGCUUUCCCUUGUGGAUUGCGGGUACUCGAGUGGCGAACGGGUGAGUAACACGUGAGUGAUCUGCCCCCAACUUGGGUGUAAGCCUGGGAAACUGGGUCUAAUUCCCGAUAGGACUGCAGGGUGGUGCCUGUGGUGGAAAACGAUUUUCUAGUGGUUGGGGAUGAGCUCGCGGCCUAUCAGCUUGUUGGUGGGGUAAUGGCCUACCAAGGCGGCGACGGGUAGCCGGCCUGAGAGGGUGGACGGCCACAUUGGGACUGAGAUACGGCCCAGACUCCUACGGGAGGCAGCAGUGGGGAAUAUUGCACAAUGGGCGGAAGCCUGAUGCAGCGACGCCGCGGGGGGGAUGACGGCCUUCGGGUUGUAAACUCCUUUCGACCGCGAGGAAGCCACCUGGUUGGAAGGGUGGUGACGGUAGUGGUAGAAGAAGCACCGGCUAACUACGUG
rnacentral:rRNA from 1 species